UAUAAACAAACUGAUGGCUUCUAUCCAACAACAGUACAGUUGUAGUGGAAAAAAACACAUGUAUAACUUACAUUUAUAUAGCACGGUUUUUACCGGAGCAACCGCUCCCCUUCCGCUAGCCAAGAUGGCGACCAUUGAGGGUGAGAAGUGUCCAGCGUUCCACACUCAACUUUUUGACCGUUAUAUGUACAUCAUCCAGGUACUUGUAGUGCGCUUUAUUUUGCCAUAAUUAUCGGUGUGAAUGCACUUAUGCACUCAAAAUAGUAAGUGUAUGUCAUAGUUAGCCACUAUGCCCCCUGAUCCUUUUGUCCUCUUCUGUAUCUGCCUUCCCCUGUGUUUCCUGGCGGUCCCCUGUCCGUCUUGUUUGUGUGUGUGUGUGUGUCUGGGUUCUGGGCUGGUUUCCAGAUCUCCCGGCUGCUAUUGAUUACCGGCACACCUGAUCAUCAUCAUCAUCAUCAACCACCACAGUUAUCUACCGGGCUCAUCCACACUUCUAGCGCCAGAUCGUCUUCGUACCCAACCUCUGUGCUGCCGGUGAUCACUUCCUUGUGCCACGGCCAUCGGACUCUAGUCAGCGUGUCUUCACCCGAUCAGCCCAGCCUUCAACCACGCCAGCCAGUCCAGAACCCGCUUCCCUGGUCUCCGCUCAACGCACCACCCUCCAGCCUCCGUCCAGUCCGGUCGAACUCUCCGUACUACAACGCACUUCGCCAGACACGCCGCGAUCUCCUGAUCUAUCCACACAAUAAACCUGUUCAGACCUUGA